CUUGUACUCCCUCAGUUCGGAAUUACUUGUCGCAGAAGUGGAUGUAUCUAGAUGUAUUUUAGUUCUAGAUACAUCCAUUUUCGAGACAAGUAAUUCCAAACGGAGGGUUGAGUACUCC
rfam:Triticum aestivum genome assembly, contig: Triticum_aestivum_CS42_TGACv1_scaffold_223503_3B